CAGCCGCCGCGGGAAUACGUAGGUCCCGAGCGUUGUCCGGAUUUAUUGGGCGUAAAGCGAGCGCAGGCGGUUAGAUAAGUCUGAAGUUAAAGGCUGUGGCUUAACCAUAGUACGCUUUGGAAGCUGUUUAACUUGAGUGCAAGAGGGGAGAGUGGAAUUCCAUGUGUAGCGGUGAGGUGCGUAGAUAUAUGGAGGAACACCGGUGGCGAAAGCGGCUCUCUGGCUUGUAACUGACGCUGAGGCUCGAAAGCGUGGGGAGCAAACAGGAUUAGAUACCCCGGUAGUCCCUGUCUCUUAUACC
rnacentral:rRNA from 1 species